GAAGAAUUAGUUUAUUUUAAAACAUUAAAUUGUCAAUUUAAAAAUAUUUAAUCAACAAAUAUUCUUAA
rnacentral:tRNA from 1 species